rnacentral:lncRNA from 1 species
CUUGCUGCCAUGCAAGAUGUGACUUUGCUCUUCAUUCACCUUCUGCCAUGAUUGUGAGGGCUCCCCAGCCAUGUAGAACUAAAUUGUGGAGCCACCAUCUCUAAACAUCCUGCCUAACAGGACUUCUAGAAGUUCGCCAAAGGUCUCCUCAACCCCAGUUCAGUGAUAUAAUUUUGGUUUCUGAAGAGUGUUGACAUUUAUGGAUCGUCUGGUUGGAGAACUAAAGAAAUUUCUGGCAAGUGGAUACCACAUUGACAAGGUGCUCAUCAGCUGGUACAAUGGACCUUUAUCUCAGAGUUUAAAUUUAUUUGCAAGUGAUCUGAAAAGUCCAAGGUUAAGAUGCAAGACUGGCUAGAAGGAUAAGCAGUGGGAACAACGGCACAGGAGAUGUCCUUAUGGGUCCCCAACACUUUCUCUUUUGCCCUUUGGCAGGUGCUAGUGACAGACAUGGGGCUUCACCAUGUUGCCCAGGGCUGUUCUCGACCUCCUGGAUUCAAGCAAUCCUUCCACCUCGGCCUCCCAAAGUGCUGGGAUUACAGGCAUGAGCCACCUCGCCACUGGCUGGACUCCUCCGAUUGACUUCUAUUCACCAGAAUGUUGAUGGCUCUGGUUCUCACCCUGUUGUUGUUUGCAUGGGAAUAUUCCCUAGAAAAGAGAUAAGGCCUCUCUCCUGCCUUUCUUCCACCCAGAUUAAGACUGUGAGAUGAAGACAGAAACAGCAUCCGCUGAGGCACCUUCUCUUGUGGGAAUGUAAGGAGUGAGGGAGGAAAAUGCUUCUUGACAUCUACCUUGUAGAUCUGAAGGAAAUUACUCCAGAUUAUCUGGGUGGCCCCAGUGUAAUCAGGAGAGAGCCCUGCCUCUUAGUUGACACCUCGAUUUUGGACUUCCAGCCUCCAGAACUGUGAGAGAAUAAUACAUUUCCGUAGUUUUAAGCUAUUUGGACUCUGAUACUUUGUUACAGCAACCCUGGGAAACUAAUAUAAUCAGCCAUCUCCUUAAAUGCCAAGCAACAAGUGCCUUUAUUGAGAGACACCCUGUAGUCUCAGCUACUAGGGAGGCUGAAGUGGGAGGACUGCUUGAGCCCAAGAGUUUGAGGCUGCAGCGAGCUAUGCUUGCACCACUGUACUCCAGCCUGGGUGACAGAACGAGACCUUAUCUCUGUCUUAAAAAAAAAACUAUCUUGUUUUGUAAAAAUUAAGUCUCCAUAAGAAGCGAAUAUACUAUUGAUAACUCUUACAUAAUAUUGCUCUGGAACAUGACAUUUUCCUAUUAAAACCAUUUGUGACUAAUAGCACUACAGAGUUUCUAUCCUCUUUUCUUGAAUGCAUGUCAUGUUGUUUGUGGUUAAGCUUUUUUAUAUAAAGGCAUUGAUUUCAAAAAAUCAUGUAAUAUGGUGGUUGGAGAAUUACUAUAAUUUUUAUUUUGUAGGCCCCUACCCAAGACCCAAGCAGCAUGUUCAGAUAUUGUUUGGGUAAGAAAAAGAGACACUUAGAAAACCCCUCAACCUCAAAAUUAAUGCUUUGAUUGGAACAG